CACAGAGAGAGGACAGCACAUUCCCUUUGCCGUGGGUCUAAGACACCGGAGUUUGAAGGACACAGGAAGGCCUGGGUGGCAGGGAGUCCCAGGGCAUGGCGCUCUUGGGAGGGGCUUCAGGGCUCAGCAGGGUCCGGGCCAAGUCCGAAAGGGCAGCGCUGCUGAAGGACCUGGGCACCCCUGCAAUUUCCCCGCCACGGAAGUACCGCUGCUCCUCCACCCGGGCCUGAGCAGCUGGCAGGAGCCCCGCUGAGCGGCGUCCUGGCUCCAUCCAUUCACCAAACACACCUAGAGAUCGAGUUUGUUGACAGGAGGGAACUAGAUCCACGUGACCCCAGUGGAGCCGUGGUGGUCAUUCUAUGGGCCCAGAUGGAGCAGCAGGGGAUGAAGACGGGAGCCAGGACAUCGCUUCAAGGGAAGAUGUCUGGAAACACCUGGAGACCGGAGCUGCCUUUCUGCCCAGAUUGGCCGGUAACAGACAGCUUUCAGGAUGCCUUCCGCUCCCCCAACACACACUGUCCUCACAAGCAGAAACGGAGAGAGCAAGAGAUGACGGGCAGGAUGCAGCUGAGAGGUGGGAAAACUGUGUCCCCACCCAUCACCCAAGCCCUGCUCCAGAGGGAAAAACAGGAUUGCUCCAGAAGGGGAAGCCAGGAGGGCUGGUCCUGGACAACACGCAUCAUGCCCGGUUGGGCCCCCUAUGUUGGAGGCGGUUGCUUUCCCAGGUUUGGACUCUAGACACCAACACCUUGACUCAAGUUGUCACAAGCGGUCCCUUCAGUUGA
rnacentral:lncRNA from 1 species